UGGGAUUACUGGGUGCUUCCUCAACAUUCCAGGUCAGGACAAAAAUUUUGCAGGAAAGAGAGGAAUGCAGCCUAUGACCCGAAAGCCUGAAGAAAAAUAAUUCCUGCAACUUUCGGUUUCCAAAAUGGCUGCGAUGACGUCACUUCUGGCCAACCUUGAUGAUGUCACUUCAGGCUCCCGCAAAUCACCUCACUUCCGGUGCAUCAUGAUGAUGUUGGUUCCGGUUCCUGCUGCAACGUCGCUUCCUGCCAACCAUUUCCUGUCCUAUGAUCCAUUCUGUUAUAAAGCGGCCAUUUUUUCUGAGUAAAAUGUUCAUUUUACUUAUCAA